rfam:Chlamydotis undulata macqueenii contig24146, whole genome shotgun sequence.
GUCCGGCUAGCUCACUUGGUAGAGAAUGAGAACUUUAAUCUCAGGGUCAUGGGUUUGAGCCCCAUGUUGGGCA